rnacentral:rRNA from 1 species
GAAGAGUUUGAUCAUGGCUCAGAUUGAACGCUGGCGGCAGGCCUAACACAUGCAAGUCGAACGGUAACAGGAAGCAGCUUGCUGCUUUGCUGACGAGUGGCGGACGGGUGAGUAAUGUCUGGGAAACUGCCUGAUGGAGGGGGAUAACUACUGGAAACGGUGGCUAAUACCGCAUAACGUCGCAAGACCAAAGAGGGGGACCUUCGGGCCUCUUGCCAUCAGAUGUGCCCAGAUGGGAUUAGCUUGUUGGUGAGGUAACGGCUCACCAAGGCGACGAUCCCUAGCUGGUCUGAGAGGAUGACCAGCCACACUGGAACUGAGACACGGUCCAGACUCCUACGGGAGGCAGCAGUGGGGAAUAUUGCACAAUGGGCGCAAGCCUGAUGCAGCCAUGCCGCGUGUAUGAAGAAGGCCUUCGGGUUGUAAAGUACUUUCAGCGGGGAGGAAGGUGUUGUGGUUAAUAACCGCAGCAAUUGACGUUACCCGCAGAAGAAGCACCGGCUAACUCCGUGCCAGCAGCCGCGGUAAUACGGAGGGUGCAAGCGUUAAUCGGAAUUACUGGGCGUAAAGCGCACGCAGGCGGUCUGUCAAGUCGGAUGUGAAAUCCCCGGGCUCAACCUGGGAACUGCAUUCGAAACUGGCAGGCUUGAGUCUUGUAGAGGGGGGUAGAAUUCCAGGUGUAGCGGUGAAAUGCGUAGAGAUCUGGAGGAAUACCGGUGGCGAAGGCGGCCCCCUGGACAAAGACUGACGCUCAGGUGCGAAAGCGUGGGGAGCAAACAGGAUUAGAUACCCUGGUAGUCCACGCCGUAAACGAUGUCUACUUGGAGGUUGUGCCCUUGAGGCGUGGCUUCCGGAGCUAACGCGUUAAGUAGACCGCCUGGGGAGUACGGCCGCAAGGUUAAAACUCAAAUGAAUUGACGGGGGCCCGCACAAGCGGUGGAGCAUGUGGUUUAAUUCGAUGCAACGCGAAGAACCUUACCUGGUCUUGACAUCCACAGAACUUUCCAGAGAUGGAUUGGUGCCUUCGGGAACUGUGAGACAGGUGCUGCAUGGCUGUCGUCAGCUCGUGUUGUGAAAUGUUGGGUUAAG